GAUGAAGAACGUAGCGAAAUGCGAUAAGUAAUGUGAAUUGCAGAAUUCAGUGAAUCAUCGAAUCUUUGAACGCACAUUGCGCCCCUUGGUAUUCCGAGGGGCAUGCCUAUUCGAGCGUCAUUAUCACCCCUCAAGCCUAGCUUGGUGUUGAGACCUGCUGUCAAGGCAGUCUCUAAAAUCAGUGGCGGUGCUGUCAGGCUCUAAGCGUAGUAAAUUCAUCGCUAUAGACACCUGGUGGCCACUCGCCAGAACCCCCCCAUUUUUUAAUGAUUGACCUCGGAUUAGGUAGGGAUACCCGCUGAACUUAAGCAUAUCAAUAAGCGGAGGA
rnacentral:misc_RNA from 1 species